rnacentral:rRNA from 3 species
GGUACGCCCGGUCCCUUUCCGAACCCGGAAGCUAAGCCCGAUUGCGCUGAUGGUACUGCACCUGGGAGGGUGUGGGAGAGUAGGUCGCCGCCAACC